rnacentral:lncRNA from 10 species
CUGUAUCUUCAUGUCGAGUUGGUCGCUGCCCAACGUAGAGGACUAGGAAUCAGGAGUCAGUGGCCGUAUGCUGGAGGCUGGAGCCACGUGAACGCGGCUCGCCUUGCUGCGGUUGUUGGCAGUGAUGGAGAGAUAGCAGCGCGACUGGAGCGCUACAUUUACUAGAGCGACAAAAAGUGCUACAAGAAAAAGAUGAGCUCAGAAAAGCACUGGCCAGUUUAGAAGAAUUAAAAGAGAAAAAAACAGAAAUUAUCGGACUUGCAGGAUUAAGAUGUAAGUAUUUUUCAUGUCCAACUUGUAAAAGAUAAGAAAUGUUUUGAGUGACAAGUCCAAUUAGGACUCAGUCUUUGAUUUAGACAAAAUCCAGAGAAUAGCUUUCAUAUCCUCGUUGAAACCAACUAAUUAAGCAACAUGCCAAAAUUCCUUUCAGCUCGACAAAAGGGCUCCAUGAAGAGACUAAGGAUGGACUUUUACAUGAAAGUCUGAUAAUUUAAUAAAACUAUAUUUUAAUUUAGAGAUAGGCUUUCAUAUGCAAAAUAUCAUGGAUGUAACUACAGGUAUGCUAAGAUGACUAAAAGAAAAACAAUUUUACCCUUUCUUCCAGUUGAUUGCAUCUGCUCCUGAGGCUUCCGCAUUCUUCACGUAGUUCUGGAGCCUUGGUUUUCAGCUCCAUCAGCUCCUUUAAGCACUUCUCUGUAUUGGUUAUACUAGUUAUACAUUCUUCUAAAUUUUUUUCAAAGUUUUCAACUUCUUUGCCUUUGGUUUGAAUGUCCUCCCCUAGCUCGGAGUAAUUUGAUCGUCUGAAGCCUUCUUCUCUCAGCUCGUCAAAGUCAUUCUCCGUCCAGCUUUGUUCCGUUGCUGGUGAGGAACUGCGUUCCUUUGGAGGAGGAGAGGCGCUCUGCUUUUUAGAGUUUCCAGUUUUUCUGCUCUGUUUUUUCCCUAUCUUUGUGGUUUUGUCUACUUUUGGUCUUUGAUGAUGGUGAUGUACAGAUGGGUUUUUGGUGUGGAUGUCCUUUCUGUUUGUUAGUUUUCCUUUUAACAGACAGGACCCUCAGCUGCAGGUCUGUUGGAGUACCCAGCCGUGUGAGGUGUCAGUGCUGGGGGGUGCCUCCCAGUUAGGCUGCUUGGGGGUCAGGGGUCAGGGACCCACUUGAGGAGGUAGUCUACCCGUUCUCAGAUCUCCAGCUGCGAGCUGGGAGAACCACUGCUCUCUUCAAA